CUGAAUCUGAGCAGAUGAAGGGAUAUGCUCAGGAUCACAAAGCAAAUUAUUGGCAGUUCUAUAAUAGAAAUCAGCAACCUAAAGUACUAAAACUUGAGGACUUCUUACAAGAAUGCUUUCAUCACCCCCCACGGAAACAAAAAACACAUGCCCGGCUGGGCACAGUGGUUCACGCCUGUAAUCCCAGCACUUUGGAA